rnacentral:rRNA from 1 species
UUGGAGGGCAAGUCUGGUGCCAGCAGCCGCGGUAAUUCCAGCUCCAAUAGCGUAUAUUAAAGUUGUUGCAGUUAAAAAGCUCGUAGUUGAACCUCGGGGUCUACCCAUUGGUCAGGCUUAAUUGUCUGUACUGGUGAGAUGGAUCUCUACCUUCUGAGGAACUUUCAUGCCAUUUAUUUGGUGUGAUGGGAAAUCAGGACUGUUACUUUGAAAAAAUUAGAGUGUUUAAAGCAGACUAUCGUCUGAAUACAUUAGCAUGGAAUAAUGAAAUAGGACGGACU